rnacentral:rRNA from 1 species
CCUACGGGUGGCAGCAGUGGGGAAUAUUGGGCAAUGGGCGCAAGCCUGACCCAGCAACGCCGCGUGAAGGAAGAAGGCUUUCGGGUUGUAAACUUCUUUUGUCAGGGACGAAGCAAGUGACGGUACCUGACGAAUAAGCCACGGCUAACUACGUGCCAGCAGACGCGGUAAUACGUAGGUGGCAAGCGUUCGCCGGAUUUACUGGGUGUAAAGGGGGUGUAGGCGGGACGGCAAGUCAGAUGUGAAAACCACGGGCUCAACCUGUGGCCUGCAUUUGAAACUGUAGUUCUUGAGUACUGGGGAGGCAGACGGAAUUCCUGGGGUAGCGGUGAAAUGCGUAGAUAUUAGGAGGAACACCAGUGGCGAAGGCGGUCUGAUGGACAGCAACUGACGCUGAGGCGCGAAAGCGUGGGGAGCAAACAGGAGUAGAUACCCUAGUAGUC